GAAGCUGGGGUGCGGGGGAAACCGGGGGAAGAUGGGGUACAGGGGUUCAGGGAAGCUUGCGUGGGCCAAGGAUCACCUUGGAAAUCUGGAGUCUGGCAGGAGUGGCAAAGGGUGGACGGGACGGCUCGGGCUGGGCGGGCGGGAGCCUGGGAGCGUGGACGGAGUGUGGCGUGGGCUCCCAGGUGUUCUGGAAGCAGGGCGACAUCUGUGUGGAGUGUGACGGGCCCGAGCUGGGGGUACGGAAGGAAGAAGGGGGAGCCAGACAUUCAUCCCGGUCAAUUUUGGUUUCAGGACGUGGCGGCUGGUGGACAAGGGGGACUGGAGAAGGGUUCGCCCGGGCCUGGGGCAGUGGCGGAGUAGCUGGCAGCCACGGGCAAGUGGACAGCGGUCUGCCGGGCCAGGUGAGUCCCCUUCUUCUCCCGGGCCUUGCUCCCCUGGCCUUCUGCUAAAAGGAGGUUUGGGGAGCAAGGACCGGCGAGGAGAAGGGGCUCAUCUCCCGGCAGAGCGACAGGACGAAGGCAGAGCGGUCAGCACAGGUGACAUCGUCUCAGGGGGAGCUGAGACUGAGCAAGCUGGGGGGCCAUGAGCUCGUCCCAGGUGGAAAGAGCACUCUCAGAUGGCAGGGCAGGGCACGAGGCAGGGCUGCCAGUGAGGGAGGCACAGGUGGCCGCAGAAAUCCAACAUCUGCGGGGGCAUUCCAGGCCCGGGUCACACAGGAUGAGAUGGGGACUCGGGACACAGCAGGGUCCACCAGCCGCCACCACUUCCCACCCACCGCAAUUCACUUAGCAGCAGGUACAGGAGCGGCUCCAGCCGGGCCCCCCCACCGGGCCCGUGUGGAGCCUCGAGGGCAGGAGAGCGGGACAGAAGGCGCAGUGCGCGGGGCGACCCGCAGCAGGGCACCACCUGGAGGCGGCGGCGGCCUCAGGUCCUGGGCUCCAGAGAUUUCCGCAGCAAGGAGGCUGCCGUGGGCCCAGCCUGAGGAUGCGCCGCUCCCACGUGGCACUGCGGCCCAUCGGCCGUGCGGAGAAGGCGCGGCGUCCAGGUGACACCGUACGCCCUCCCCGCACGGCCGCUGGGACUGGUGUGAUAGACAGCACAGCAUCCAGGGGAGUCAAGGGCACAGGCGAGACCAGAUUAGGCGAGGCGGGCGGGGCAGAGUGAGUGAGAACUGGGGGGGGAGUUGGGCGCAGGCAGGGGUGAGGAGCUGCAAGCUGGCGGCAACGAGGCGGGGCACUGGCCUCCGGAGCCCGUGGCCAAGGCGGGCCAGCGCGGGCGGUGACGGAGCAGGGAUCGGUGCCUCUGUGCUCGGAUUAGAGACCAGCCAGGUCUCCAGUCGGGGUGGACAUGCCUGCCAGCCACUGAAGGCCGGACGCCAGGACGUGCGGAGAGGGACAUGACAUGGUCUGGCGUGACGGUGAGGACAGGGGUGACGCUGUCCGGCCUUCCCGAACACCCUCGGCUGGCACCGCGGGGCUCUGUCCUUUCGCUUUCCCGAAGGAGCCACUGCACGGCCGCUGCUCUCUGGACCUCUAGAACCCUCAAGACGACAAGAAAUGGUGCUACCCAGCUCAUGCCUGGGCCUUGGAAACCGGACUUCUUCAAGUCCUUCUAGCUCUGACUCGAGAAUAUGCUGCAUUCAGAACCACUACACCACCGACUCAGGAAUCGGCUCUGCAAGGUUAAGCGAAACGGAACAUCUGCCUGACACCGAUGCAGCGAGCAGCCCCCGCGGCAGC